GAUGAACGCUGGCGGCGUGCCUAAUACAUGCAAGUCGAGCGAACAGACGAGGAGCUUGCUCCUCUGACGUUAGCGGCGGACGGGUGAGUAACAUGUGGAUAACCUACCUAUAAGGCUGGGAUAACUUCGGGAAACCGGAGCUAAUACCGGAUAAUAUAUUGAACCGCAUGGUUCAAUAGUGAAAGACGGUUUUGCUGUUACUUAUAGAUGGAUUCGCGCCGCAUUAGCUAGUUGGUAAGGUAACGGCUUACCAAGGCAACGAUGCGUAGCCGGCCUGAGAGGGUGAUCGGCCACACUGGAACUGAGACACGGUCCAGACUCCUACGGGAGGCAGCAGUAGGGAAUCUUCCGCAAUGGGCGAAAGCCUGAUGGAGCAACGCCGCGUGAGUGAUGAAGGUCUUCGGAUCGUAAAACACUGUUGUUAGGGAAGAAAAAAUGUGUAAGAAACUAUGCACGUCUUGACGGUACCUAAAGAGAAAGCCACGGCUAACUACGUG
rnacentral:rRNA from 1 species